GAGGGGAUAGCUCAGUGGUAGAGCACAUGCUUAGCAUGCACGAGGUCCUGGGUUCAAUCCCCGGUACCUCCG
rnacentral:tRNA from 1 species